AACGAACGCUGGCGGCGCGCCUAACACAUGCAAGUCGAACGAGAAGGCGUAGCAAUACGCUUGUACAGUGGCGAACGGGUGAGGAACACGUGGGUAACCUACCCUCGAGUGGGGAAUAACCAACCGAAAGGUUGGCUAAUGCCGCGUAAGCUUCCAUCUCUUCGGAGGUGGAAGGAAAGCUGUACCGUGGGUACAGCGCUCAAGGAUGGGCUCACGUCCUAUCAGCUUGUUGGUAGGGAACGGCCUACCAAGGCAACGACGGGUAGCUGGUCUGAGAGGACGAUCAGCCACACUGGCACUGCGACACGGGCCAGACUCCUACGGGAGGCAGCAGUGAGGAAUAUUGCGCAAUGGGCGAAAGCCUGACGCAGCGACGCCGCGUGGGGGAUGAAGGUCUUCGGAUUGUAAACCCC
rnacentral:rRNA from 1 species